rnacentral:rRNA from 1 species
AGUGAACGCUGGCGGCAGGCCUAACACAUGCAAGUCGAACGGCAGCACAGUGGAGCUUGCUCCAUGGGUGGCGAGUGGCGGACGGGUGAGGAAUACAUCGGAAUCUGCCCAGUCGUGGGGGAUAACAUAGGGAAACUUAUGCUAAUACCGCAUACGACCUACGGGUGAAAGCGGGGGAUCGCAAGACCUCGCGCGAUUGGAUGAGCCGAUGUCCGAUUAGCUAGUUGGCGGGGUAAUGGCCCACCAAGGCGACGAUCGGUAGCUGGUCUGAGAGGAUGAUCAGCCACACUGGAACAGAGACACGGUCCAGAAUCCUACGGGAGGCAGCAGUGGGGAAUAUUGGACAAUGGGCGCAAGCCUGAUCCAGCCAUGCCGCGUGGGUGAAGAAGGCCUUCGGGUUGUAAAGCCCUUUUGUCCGGAAAGAAAAGUCCCGGGUUAAUACCCUGGGGUGAUGACGGUACCGGAAGAAUAAGCACCGGCUAACUUCGUGCCAGCAGCCGCAGUAAAAC